GUAGGGUGCAAGCGUUAAUCGGAAUUACUGGGCGUAAAGCGUGCGCAGGCGGUCCGCUAAGACAGAUGUGAAAUCCCCGGGGCUUAACCUGGGAACUGCAUUUGUGACUGGCGGGCUAGAGUAUGGCAGAGGGGGGGUAGAAUUCCACGUGUAGCAGUGAAAUGCGUAGAGAUGUGGAGGAAUACCGAUGGCGAAGGCAGCCCCCCUGGGCCAAUACUGACGCUCAUGCACGAAAGCGUGGGGAGCAAACAGGAUUAGAUACCCUGGUAGUCCACGCCCUAAACGAUGUCAACUAGUUGUCGGGUCUUCAUUGACUUGGUAACGUAGCUAACGCGUGAAGUUGACCGCCUGGGGAGUACGGUCGCAAGAUUA
rnacentral:rRNA from 1 species